AACGAACGCUGGCGGCAGGCUUAACACAUGCAAGUCGAACGCCCCGCAAGGGGAGUGGCAGACGGGUGAGUAACACGUGGGGAUCUGCCCAAUGGUACGGAAUAAUUCCGGGAAACUGGGACUAAUACCGUAUGUGCCCGCAAGGGGAAAGAUUUAUCGCCAUUGGAUGAACCCGCGUCGGAUUAGCUAGUUGGUGAGGUAAAGGCUCACCAAGGCGACGAUCCGUAGCUGGUCUGAGAGGAUGAUCAGCCACACUGGGACUGAGACACGGCCCAGACUCCUACGGGAGGCAGCAGUGGGGAAUAUUGGACAAUGGGCGCAAGCCUGAUCCAGCCAUGCCGCGUGAGUGAUGAAGGCCUUAGGGUUGUAAAGCUCUUUCGCCGACGAAGAUAAUGACGGUAGUCGGAGAAGAAGCCCCGGCUAACUUCGUGCCAGCAGCCGCCGCAGUAA
rnacentral:rRNA from 1 species